CUGCUGUUAUACAGAAAGAAAAGAUAUAGGAGUGGAAAGCCUAUAUUAUGACGGUACUGUAUCAGAAAGUGACGGCAAACUAUGUGCCAGCAGCCGCGGUAAUACAUAGGUCACAAGCGUUAUCCGAAAUUAUUGGGCGUAAAGCGUCCGUAGGUUGUUUGUUAAGUCUGGAGUUAAAGACCGGUGCUCAACGCCGGCACGCUUUAGAUACUGGCAAACUAGAGUUAUAAAGAGGUAAGUGGAAUUUCAUGUGAAGCGGUGGAAUGCGUAGAUAUAUGAAAGAACACCAAUGGCGAAGGCAGCUUACUGGUUAUAUACUGACACUGAGGGACGAAAGCGUGGGGAGCAAACAGGAUUAGAUACCCUGGUAGUCCACGCCGUAAACGAUGAUCAUUAGUUGGUGGGGGAACCCUCGCUAACGCAGCUAACGCAUUAAAUGAUCCGCCUGAGUAGUAUGCUCGCAAGAGUGAAACUUAAAGGAAUUGACGGGGACCCGCACAAGCGGUGGAGCAUGUGGUUUAAUUUGACGAUACGCGUAGAACCUUACCCACUCUUGACAUCCCUUGCAAAGCUAUAGAGAUAUAGUGGAGGUUAACAAGGUGACAGAUGGUGCAUGGUUGUCGUCAGCUCGUGUCGUGAGAUGUUCGGUUAAGUCCUGCAACGAGCGCAACCCCUAUCCUUAUUUACUAACAUUAAGUUGAGAACUAUACGGAUACUGCUCAGGUAACUGGGAGGAAGGUGGGGAUGACGUCAAAUCAUCAUGCCUCUUACGAGUGGGGCAACACACGUGCUACAAUGGCCGGUACAAAGAGACGCAAUACGGUGACAUGGAGCAAAUCUGAAAAACCGGUCUCAGUUCGGAUUGAAGGCUGCAAUUCGCCUUCAUGAAGUCGGAAUCGCUAGUAAUCGUAGAUCAGCUACGCUACGGUGAAUACGUUCUCGGGUCUUGUACACACCGCCCGUCACACCAUGGGAGCCGGUAAUGCCCAAAGUC
rnacentral:rRNA from 1 species